rnacentral:rRNA from 1 species
AGCGGCGGACGGGUGAGUAACGCGUGGGUAACCUGCCUCAUACAGGGGGAUAACAGUUGGAAACGGCUGCUAAUACCGCAUAAGCGCACAGUACCGCAUGGUACGGUGUGAAAAACUCCGGUGGUAUGAGAUGGAUCCGCGUCUGAUUAGGUAGUUGGUGGGGUAACGGCCCACCAAGCCGACGAUCAGUAGCCGACCUGAGAGGGUGACCGGCCACAUUGGGACUGAGACACGGCCCAA